UUUCUUUGCUCUUCUUUUAAUUUCAGGGCUUCAGAAUAUAUUCACCACCUCCUGGGACCCUUUUGUGCAUUGUCAGUUCUGCAAUUUGUCUAGGUGACAAAUCAGUUUGCUUUGCAGUUUUGUGUAUACAGAUGCUACAGGACCUGAAAGAACGAGGAGAAAUACGUCAGAAGUCAUAAUUUGCUUCUUCGGCCAAAAGAACCCAAAGAAGUGCUGGAUAUCCUAUUUCUUCAAAUGUUUACUACCCCAGACACAGAACAGACAGCUGUGUAUGAGCUUUUCCCGGCAAAGAAGUGGAGAGGGUAACCUCAUCUACCCUCUCAGUCUCUGAGCUUUGAUGAUUCAUAUUUUGCAGGAGCAGUUUUGCUUAUAAAUAAGAGCAGGUUUAGCAAGUGAAACCAGUUAGCCUUUAAACAAUUAACGCAUGCUUCCUAACAAAAGGCAGAGCUUGAGCCCAA
rnacentral:lncRNA from 12 species